rnacentral:rRNA from 1 species
CGCAUCUGUGCAUGCAGCAUAUCAAUAAGCGGAGGAAAAGAAACUAACAAGGAUUCCCCUAGUAACGGCGAGUGAAGCGGGAAGAGCUCAAAUUUGAAAUCUUAAAGGUUUUCCCUUGACGAAUUGUAGUUUAAGGAAGUGUUUUCUGUUGAAGUUUUGGUAAAAGUUCUUUGGAAUAGGACAUCAUAGAGGGUGAGAAUCCCGUAUUUGACCAUUAUUUUCAGCUUUGUGAUACACUUUCAAAGAGUCGGAUUGUUUGGGAAUGCAGUCCAAAAUGGGUGGUAAAUUUCAUCUAAAGCUAAAUAUUGGCGAGAGACCGAUAGCGAACAAGUACCGUGAGGGAAAGAUGAAAAGAACUUUGAAAAGAGAGUUAAACAGUACGUGAAAUUGUCAAAAGGGAAGCGUUUGACUCCAGUGUUGUUUUUCUGAAAAUCAAUUAAAGAACUGUUUAUGCUAAGUUGUUUAGACUUUAUCAGCUAUCUGCUUAGUUUUGAGCUUUUCUUUAAUGCACUUUUCAGUUAACAAGUCAACAUCAAUUUCUUUUGCUGUAAAAAAGCUUGAGGAAGGUGGCUUGAGAUUCGUCUUAAGUGUUUAUAGCCUCUUGCCUAUGCAGUCGGAGAGAUUGAGGUCUGCAGCGUAGAUCCUUCGGGGCUAAAUGCAUUUGUGCUAAGUUAUAGGCAUUUUAUAGACAACUUGUUGACUAUGAUUUGUCUUGUAGCUUACUCGCUUAUGUUAUUUUACCUACGCUUAGGAUGUUGAUAGUCACAGCGUGUAC